UGGUUCUGGCAUCGAUGAAGAACGCAGCGAAAUGCGAUAAGUAAUGUGAAUUGCAGAAUUCAGUGAAUCAUCGAAUCUUUGAACGCAUCUUGCGCCUUCUGGUAUUCCAAAAGGCACACCUGUUUGAGUGUCAUGAAUACCUCAAUCCCUAUUUACACAAAUAGUGGUUUGGAUGUUGAGCUCUGCUGUUCUCAGCUGGCUUUAAAGACAUUAGCCAAUCCCUUUCUGUAGUGGACUGACUCGGCGUAAUAAACUUGUUUCGUCGAGGAUGUGCUUUCCAGCAGCCAAUACAGACAAAAGGGUGGCUUCUAAACCCCUUUUUCCUUUAGACCUCAAAUCAGGUGGGACUACCCGCUGG
rnacentral:misc_RNA from 1 species